CGUCCAUCUCAGCCCAAGGCCAGCUCUUUCAAGGAAUCUUUUCUAGAUUCACGAAAGGGGAAGGUUUGAGGAAGUUAACUCAGGAUUCUUGUGCAAAGAAAAACGCACAAACUUCCCCUAUUCCAAACGGAACGUUAAACUCCUUUGAUUUUAAUUGUUCUUCCUUUCAUUUUAACUGUUUGUUCUGUAUGCCCUGAGUUAUUAUCAAACAGAGGUCAUAUUUCUAACAGCUCCUAGGGUUCCAGAACACAGCUCUCUCUCAGUGCAGUGCCGUCCUCUCUGGGCCCACUCUGCUGAGACGGCAGCAUCACAGCCUCCAAAUAGCAGUCUACACGGAGCGAGCAUCCUCCAGGCACUUCAGUCUUCUGACAGGCUGCGGCACAGUAAGUUGCAGCGCGUGUUGCCACAGGAGCCUGCGUGAAUUGAUUGCGGCCAGACUCACCCAGGGACAAGUGACAGACAGCAGGGGAGUGAACUGGCCCACAAAAAUGAAGUGACUUAUACAAAAUGAGCUAUAUAAUUAGUUAUAAAACUGGUUGAAUUGCAUCUCCCCCAAAAGGAUCCACAUAAGCGAACUUAUCUUUCAGAAAUACUAAAAUGCUUCCUUAGAUCUUUGCUGAAUGAAGAUAGGCAAAGGGCGAAGAACAGAGAUAAAGAGACCCCUGGAAAAAUGUCAUGGGUUAAUUCAUCUUCCUGGAGAUGGUGAGCACUUGACAGUGUGGUAUUUAAAGGGAAAUUAAUUCCAGACACUGAAUCUUCAUAACCUCAAUUACUCUUGGGACCCUGAUGUCUCCUUUCUUCUGUCCCUGUCUCUGGAUGGCCGUUGGAAUAGUCUUCUUUUUAACCGGAACAGUUGGGAACUCUCUUCAUUACUGGAGCACAGCUUUUGGCUACUUAUGCCAACUCUCUAACCACGAACUCCCAAGGAAUUUGGUGACAAAGUCUCUGCAAAGGGCUCUAACCCGAGUAAACCAAGUCUUUGCUUGCAUCCCAGGGGCAGUAAAAGCAGCCAGGUCCAGAGCAUCCUCAAGUCAGUGGUCAGCAAGACCUGGCAAAACUGAUGUUCAUGCCUCACACCCACCCUAAAAUCUCUAUCUCAUCUGGAAAAUCCUGACACAAGGCCUUGGAGUUGGAAGAGAUGCCCCAGUGGGCUCCUGGUGUAACUGUUAGGUAGCGUAUUGUCGAUUUUAAAACUUCGUAUUUUUCUGCUGCCUCAACAUCCACACGUACAGGCUGUGAGCAUCCCGCCCAGGUGACCAGAUGCACCAGUGUCAUAAGGCUGGUCCCUGCCACAAGUUCCCCUUCUUGCCCUCCCCAACAGUGACCUAGUGACAUUCACAUUCGCCAGUGAAAUCCCCUCUUGCCUUUUGCUUGUGUCUGCCACCCUGACCCCCAAAUAAGGCUCUUGUCCAUGAGACCCCACUCUCUCUCUCACCUCCCCACCUGCUUGGUUGAGCCCACUCCCUGUGUGGCCCCCUCUUGGCAUGCAGCGACUCUGUCUCUCUAGGACCUGGAGUAUAAUAAAUGUCGUUCCCCGCACCUCUCCUGUGUCCCCUCUCGGCUGCCCCUGACUGACUAUCUCAUGAAAGAAUACAAAACAGCGAGAGUGGGUGAGAGGCUCAGUAAGAGCCAGUAGAGUACAACGCUUCCCAAAGGCACACCGGUGACACUUCAGUCUGCACUGAUGCCCGCACAGGGUCUACGCUGGGCUGGUCUGUCCACAUCAGGAGCACAGUGCUCAACUCUGGGUUUAGUGUCAUAAGAAAGACAUUGGAAAAUGUCCCUCCUAAGUGCCCAGUGUAGAAAAUAAUGCUCAGGAUGGUGAAAAACACUCCAGAUCCUGACAAAGGAGAAAUGACUGAAAAGAGCCCGGUGCCUUGCCCAGAGCAGAGAAGACGGGACGGGACCCAAAGGCAGUGUUCCAACAGCAGAAGAGCCAUCAGAACGAGCUGGGAUUUUUCUUAUUCUUUUGGAUCCAAAGGGCAAAAUUGGGUGCAGAUUUCUUUUCCAUAUAAAUACAAACUUUCUAACCAAGAAAAAAUAAGCCUAAAUAUUUAAUAAAACUCUUAAAACUGUAAGUCCCCAUAUGCAGGAGCCUUAGGGAGAGAGGAGGAAAUUACACGCAAGGGAAGGUGCAGAUGAUCUUCAUUCUUCUGCUUAGAGUGGAAGAGAGGAUCGUUCAGGUGCCUAGCAGCCCAAAGACUCAGUAACUCCAGGCCUGAAGGUAAGAGGGAGACCGUCUCUGAGCCUCUGCAAGCUGUAGCUCUUCCCCGUGUCCUGGGCAUUCCCAGUUGCUUUGCCAAGUGGAUUCUCUCAUCCUUUCCUUUGAGGUACAGAGCUGACUAGACUUCACAGGGACACAUUCAACUGGAUUUUGUGGGAGAUAAAGGGAAAUUCAGAAAGGACUUUGAAAUGUAACCUCAAAAUAAUUAUACUUUUACCAAGCAACGCCUCCAGAAGAAGUUUAGCAGACAACAUUUGGAGAAAGAUGAGUCCCUCAUAAGUGGAAAUCUACUGAGCCUGAGGUUAAAUGAAUUCCCUCUUCGUUGAAAAAAUUCACCAGAGCCAUCCUGGGAGCCAGAAUUCAAGGCCAGCUCCCUUAGGAAGAUGGGCAUUUGCAGUGGGACAAAGCAGGGUUUUGCUGCCCUGUCAGAGAUAAUGGUGUCCACGUCCACACUGAAGACUGGCUUGGAGAUUAACCAAGGAAAAUGGAUUAAGAGGCUAAACUCCAUCCCACGGUUUAGUAACCACCCAGCACGCAGAUCCAGAGAAACCAAGCCUAAGUGUUGUUGGGAAUUCCAGGGACCUAAUACUCACAACGAGUUCCCCCAAAAUGCAAAAAAACCCAUCUGCACUGUGGUCCCCAGACCAGCAGAAUUAACAUCUUCUGGGGACCUGUUAGAAGCUCAAAUUCUUUGGCCAUGGUCAGCACCUCCUGAAUCAGAAACUCUGAGGAUGGAUCCAGCUUUCUGAGGUUUUAGCACGCCCUUCAGGGGAUUGUGCUGCAUGCUGAAAUUUAAGAUCCACGGGUGUAAGAUGACUUCAAGAUCAAGCGACUAAACGUAGGACAAAUUAGGUAAUGAUUUAUCCCAUCCAAGGAUUUGGGGACUGGGAAUGAGUCAAGAGGGCCCAGGUGACAACAAUGUAGGGAACCUGAGUAUAGCACCACCCGGGGUGAGAGGGGAGAGCCUGGUACCUGUAACAGAAAAGACGAUGGGGAGUAUGGGAAGGAACUGAGAAUUCAGAACGCUCAGCAGUCUGGCAGGUGGCAAGCUGCCUCGAGUUAGGGGCUGAGUCACUUGUCAGGACAUCUACUCCAACACUUCACAGGAAGGAAACAUCAAAGUCCUGAGCAGUCAAGCCAAACUCUCACCUUCAGUUAUGGUAAGAUGAUGAGAAAACCACUUUACAUUUACUUAGUACUUGAUCAUUUAUGAAACAUUUAAGUUUUCUAAGUCGAGGUUUUGGAAUAUUUUAGCUCUAUUUUACGAAAUUAAAAAAUUCAGAAUUUGGAAACUCCAAAUGACUUUCUCAAAGUCCCCUCCGAGGCAAGUGGCAGAACUGAGACUCGAACCUGUGCCUUCCCACUCUACAGCUGGCCAUCUUCCUACUCCAGAGAGCCUGUUCUCUGUAACAAUCGUUUAUUUCUGUGCUCUAGCCUGUUCUUUCUUUCUUUGCUUAUUUGCCUUUUUAAUAAUGUUCCUCCUGAAAAUUAUCAACUAGAUUUCAACAAUGCCUGGUUUUCACUGGAGAAACACGUCCUCUGCAAGCCAUGGGGUGAGUAAGGCUUAGAAGUUGUGUUUUCUUGCUAGGACUGCUGUAACAAACUAUCACAGGCUGGGAAGCUUAAACAAUAGAAAUUUAUUUUCUCACGGUUCUGGAGGCCAGAAGCCCAAAAUCAUGGUAUUGGCAGGGUUGGUUCCUUCCAAGGCCCGUGAGGGAGUCAUCUGUCAAGAACCAUUGGACCAAAGGAUCUGUCAAGGCCUAGCUCCUUGGCUUGAAAAUGGCAAUCUUCAUGUUCACAUGGCAUUUUCACUAUGUGUGUAUCUCUGUGUCCAACUUUCUCCUUUUAUAAGAACACCAGUC